rnacentral:rRNA from 1 species
UACGGAGGGGGCUAGCGUUGUUCGGAAUUACUGGGCGUAAAGCGCGCGUAGGCGGACCUGCAAGUCGGGGGUGAAAGCCCGAGGCUCAACCUCGGAACUGCCUUCGAUACUGCGGGUCUCGAGUCCGGGAGAGGUGAGUGGAAUUCCUAGUGUAGAGGUGAAAUUCGUAGAUAUUAGGAAGAACACCAGUGGCGAAGGCGGCUCACUGGCUCGGUACUGACGCUGAGGCGCGAAAGCGUGGGGAGCGAACAGG